rnacentral:lncRNA from 1 species
UGAGAGUCAGAGAAUAAGGGAGAGCUGUAGCCCCUGGAGAGGAGUAGAACUAAGGAGUGGGCCUAAAAGACUGAGAAGAGUGUUGAGAGGAAUUGCCCAAGACACUCCUGUAGAACACUAACCACUGGAGAGGGAUGGUCCACUGGGUGACGAAAGGUCCAGACUGAGAGCUGGGAAAUCUACAGCAGCCAGAGAGCAAGGAGAAUCAGCAUCCUGAUUUCAAUCCAGCAUCCUGAACAAGUAGUGACAUGGUGUGAUGGUGGAAGUGUGGAAGAUGGGAAGGGACCAGAUAUGAGAAAUCUUCCUUUUAGAUCCAGAUAAGGCUUUCAGCUGACAUUUUCUGGAAGCUAUGCUGAUGAUGCUUGUAAGAUUGAGGGAAGUGCUCUAAGGAGUGAGAAUAUUAUGCAGUAAUUAAUAAAAGAAGUUGAAAGGUGAGUAGGAGC